GCAAGUCGAACGAGAACGGGAUAUAGUUUACUAUAUUUGUCAGCUAAGUGGCGCACGGGUGAGUAAUAUAUAGGUAACGUGCCCUAGAGAGGGGGAUAACAUUUGGAAACGAAUGCUAAUACCCCAUAUGCCUUUAAGUCUUAAGACUGCAAGGGAAAUAUUUAUAGCUCUAGGAUUGGCCUGUACGGUAUCAGUUUGUUGGUGAGGUAAUGGCUCACCAAGGCGACGAUCUCUAGCUGGUUUGAGAGGAUGAUC
rnacentral:rRNA from 1 species